GGGCAGGUGUCAGAGUGGUCGAAUGAGCACGCUUGGAAAGCGUGUGUGCGUGAAAGCGUACCGAGGGUUCGAAUCCCUCCCUGUCCGCCA
rnacentral:tRNA from 1 species